rnacentral:rRNA from 1 species
AGCAGCCGCGGUAAUUCCAGCUCCAAUAGCGUAUAUUAAAGUUGUUGCAGUUAAAAAGCUCGUAGUUGAAUUUCGGGGUCAGUAGGUUGGUCGUGCCACUGGUAUGCACUGGUCUCACUGAUUCCUCCUUCCUGAUGAACCGUAAUGCCAUUAAUUUGGUGUUGCGGGGAAUCUGGACUGUUACUUUGAAAAAUUAGAGUGUUUAAAGCAGGCUAACGCUUGAAUACAUUAGCAUGGAAUAAUGAAAUAGGACGAUCGAUCCUAUUUUGUUGGUUUCUAGGAUUGACGUAAUGAUUAAUAGGGAUAGUUGGGGGCAUUAGUAUUCAAUUGUCAGAGGUGAAAUUCUUGGAUUUAUUGAAGACUAACUACUGCGAAAGCAUUUGCCAAGGAUGUUUUCAUUAAUCAAGAACGAAAGUUAGGGGAUCGAAGACGAUCAGAUACCGUCGUAGUCUUAACCAUAAACUAUGCCGACUAGGGAUCGGAUGAUGUUAAUUUUUAAUGUA